GUAAAACUGGAGAAACUGGAAUAAUGCAAUGAGGAAUCAAUCCCAUCUGGAACACACAGAUAAACACGUAGACUCAAGUGCCCACAUGAUCACCACAGCAAGAGUACCUGCUGAUAAGCCAGUCCGAAUUGCCUUCAGUCUAAAUGACUCCCCAGGUACAGUUCAAUUUUAUGGAAUAAAUGCAAAUGAAAUGUUUCUAGGUUUUAUAUGU
rnacentral:lncRNA from 1 species